UACAGAGGGUGCGAGCGUUACUCGGAAUUACUGGGCGUAAAGCGUGCGUAGACGGUAGCGUAAGUCAGAUGUGAAAGCCCCGGGCUCAACCUGGGAACUGCAUUUGAGACUGCUCUGCUCGGGUGCGGAAGAGGGAAGCGGAAUUUCCGGUGUAGCGGUGAAAUGCGUAGAUAUCGGAAGGAACACCAGUGGCGAAAGCGGCUGCCUGGUCCGACACCGACGUUCAGGCACGAAAGCGUGGGGAGCAAACAGG
rnacentral:rRNA from 1 species